rnacentral:rRNA from 1 species
GAUGAACGCUGGCGGCGUGCCUAAUACAUGCCAGUCGAGCGAACAGACGAGGAGCUUGCUCCUCUGACGUUAGCGGCGGACGGGUGAGUAACACGUGGAUAACCUACCUAUAAGACUGGGAUAACUUCGGGAAACCGGAGCUAAUACCGGAUAAUAUAUUGAACCGCAUGGUUCAAUAGUGAAAGACGGUUUUGCUGUCACUUAUAGAUGGAUCCGCGCCGCAUUAGCUAGUUGGUAAGGUAACGGCUUACCAAGGCAACGAUGCGUAGCCGACCUGAGAGGGUGAUCGGCCACACUGGGACUGAGACGCGGUCCAGGGUCCUACGGGAGGCAGCAGUAGGGAAUCUUCCGCGAUGGGCGAAAGCCUGACGGAGCAACGCCGCGUGAGUGCUGAAGGUCUUCGGAUCGGAAAACUCUCUUAUUGGUGAAGAACAAAUGUGUAAGGAACGAUGCACGUCUUGACGGUACCUAAUCAGAAAGCCACGGCUAACUACGUG